rnacentral:misc_RNA from 1 species
GAUGAAGAACGCAGCGAAAUGCGAUACGUAAUGUGAAUUGCAGAAUUCAGUGAAUCAUCGAGUCUUUGAACGCACAUUGCGCCCCCUGGUAUUCCGGGGGGCAUGCCUGUCCGAGCGUCAUUACAACCCUCAAGCUCAGCUUGGUAUUGGGCCCCGCCGCUCCGGCGGGCCCUAAAGUCAGUGGCGGUGCCGUCCGGCUCCGAGCGUAGUAAUUCUUCUCGCUCUGGAGGUCCGGUCGUGUGCUCGCCAGCAACCCCCAAUUUUUUUCAGGUUGACCUCGGAUCAGGUAGGGAUACCCGCUGAACUUAAGCAUAUCAAUAAGCGGAGGA